CACGGGGGGAGCAAGCGUUGUUCGGAAUUACUGGGCGUAAAGGGCGUGUAGGCGGUCAAGUAAGUGGAAUGUGAAACGCCUCGGCUUACCCGAGGACCUGCAUCCCAAACUGCUUGGCUUGAGUAUGGGAGAGGAUGAGGGAAUUCCUGGUGUAGCGGUGAAAUGCGCAGAUAUCAGGAGGAACACCGGUGGCGAAGGCGGAUCUCUGGGCCUUACCUGACGCUGAGGCACGAAAGCGUGGGGAGCAAACAGG
rnacentral:rRNA from 1 species